rnacentral:misc_RNA from 1 species
GAUGAAGAACGCAGCGAAAUGCGAUAAGUAAUGUGAAUUGCAGAAUUCAGUGAAUCAUCGAAUCUUUGAACGCACAUUGCGCCCCUUGGUGUUCCGAGGGGCAUGCCUGUUCGAGCGUCAUUAUAACCCCUCAAGCUCAGCUUGGUGUUGGGGCCUGCUGCACUGGCAGCCCUUAAAAUCAGUGGCGGCGCCAUCUGGCUCUAAGCGUAGUAAUUCUUCUCGCUAUGGAGUCCUGGUGGAUGCUUGCCAUCAACCCCCAAUUUUUCUAUGGUUGACCUCGGAUCAGGUAGGGAUACCCGCUGAACUUAAGCAUAUCAAUAAGCGGAGGA